GCUAUUUAGGUUAGAGUUUGAUCCUGGCUCAGGACGAACGCUGGCGGCGCGCUUAAUACAUGCAAGUCGAGCGAGAACCUGGGCUUCGGCCCAGGGGACAGCGGCGAACGGGUGAGUAACACGUGGGUAAUCAACCCCCGACACCGGGAUAGCCCAGGGAAACUUGGAUUAAUACCGGAUGCUCCGUCUGGCUUUCGGGCCGGCCGGAAAAGGGUAGCUUCGGCCUCCGGUCGGGGACGAGCCCGCGGCGGAUUAGCUUGUUGGUAUGGGUAACGGCCUACCAAGGCGACGAUCCGUAGCUGGUCUGAGAGGACGAUCAGCCACACUGGGACUGAGACACGGCCCAGACUCCUACGGGAGGCAGCAGUAGGGAAUCUUGCGCAAUGGGCGAAAGCCUGACGCAGCGACGCCGCGUGAGGGAAGAAGGCCUUCGGGUUGUAAACCUCUUUCAGGAGGGACGAAGCCACUCGGGUUAAUAGCCCAGAGGGUGACGGUACCUCCAGAAGAAGCCCCGGCUAACUACGUGCCAGCAGCCGCGGUAAU
rnacentral:rRNA from 1 species